rnacentral:rRNA from 1 species
GGGUUGUGAGGUUAAGCGACUAAGCGUACACGGUGGAUGCCCUGGCAGUCAGAGGCGAUGAAGGACGUGCUAAUCUGCGAUAAGCGCCGGUAAGGUGAUAUGAACCGUUAUAACCGGCGAUUUCCGAAUGGGGAAACCCAGUGUGAUUCGUCACACUAUCAUUAACUGAAUCCAUAGGUUAAUGAGGCGAACCGGGGGAACUGAAACAUCUAAGUACCCCGAGGAAAAGAAAUCAACCGAGAUUCCCCCAGUAGCGGCGAGCGAACGGGGAGGAGCCCAGAGCCUGAAUCAGCAUGUGUGUUAGUGGAAGCGUCUGGAAAGGCGCGCGAUACAGGGUGACAGCCCCGUACACAAAAGCGCAUGUGCUGUGAGCUCGAUGAGUAGGGCGGGACACGUGGUAUCCUGUCUGAAUAUGGGGGGACCAUCCUCCAAGGCUAAAUACUCCUGACUGACCGAUAGUGAACCAGUACCGUGAGGGAAAGGCGAAAAGAACCCCGGCGAGGGGAGUGAAAAAGAACCUGAAACCGUGUACGUACAAGCAGUGGGAGCACCCUUCGGGGUGUGACUGCGUACCUUUUGUAUAAUGGGUCAGCGACUUAUAUUCUGUAGCAAGGUUAACCGUAUAGGGGAGCCGGAGGGAAACCGAGUCUUAAUUGGGCGUUAAGUUGCAGGGUAUAGACCCGAAACCCGGUGAUCUAGCCAUGGGCAGGUUGAAGGUUGGGUAACACUAACUGGAGGACCGAACCGACUAAUGUUGAAAAAUUAGCGGAUGACCUGUGGCUGGGGGUGAAAGGCCAAUCAAACCGGGAGAUAGCUGGUUCUCCCCGAAAGCUAUUUAGGUAGCGCCUCGUGAAUUCAUCUCCGGGGGUAGAGCACUGUUUCGGCUAGGGGGCCAUCCCGGCUUACCAACCCGAUGCAAACUGCGAAUACCGGAGAAUGUUAUCACGGGAGACACACGGCGGGUGCUAACGUCCGUCGUGAAGAGGGAAACAACCCAGACCGCCAGCUAAGGUCCCAAAGUCAUGGUUAAGUGGGAAACGAUGUGGGAAGGCCCAGACAGCCAGGAUGUUGGCUUAGAAGCAGCCAUCAUUUAAAGAAAGCGUAAUAGCUCACUGGUCGAGUCGGCCUGCGCGGAAGAUGUAACGGGGCUAAACCAUGCA